CAUGUCUUUUUGAUUAUAAUUUAAAGUCUAAUCUGCUCGAUGAAUAAUUUUAAAUGGCCGCGGUAUUUUGACCGUGCGAAGGUAGCAUAAUAAUUAGUUUCUUAAUUAGAAUCUAGAAUGAAGGAUUGGACGAGAAAUUGACUGUCUCAAUUUUAAUUUAUUAGAAUUUUACUUUUAAGUUAAAAGGCUUAAAUUUUUUUGGAAGACGAGAAGACCCUAUAGAGUUUAAUAUUUAAAGUUGAUAAUUUAUUUUAGGAUUUAUUUUUUAUUAGCUUAUGUAUUUAAUUGGGGUGAUUAUUAAAUUUAUAAAACUUUAAUUUUAAUAUUUACACAUUUAUGUGAAUAGCUGAUCCAAUUAUUUUGAUUAUAAGAUAAAAUUACCUUAGGGAUAACAGCGUAAUUUUUUUGGAAAGUUCAUAUUUAUAAAAAAGAUUGCGACCUCGAUGUUGGAUUAAAAUUUAAUUUAGGUGCAGGAGCUUAAAAAUUGGGUCUGUUCGACCUUUAAAAUUUUACAUGAUCUGAGU
rnacentral:rRNA from 1 species